ensembl:ribozyme RNaseP_nuc Nuclear RNase P
GAAGGUCUAAGACUGGGCCCUCCUGUAGACCUAACCAGGCUUUCCCUGAGUUGGGAGGUGAGUUCCCGGAGAGCAGGGCUCCACGCCUGGACACACUGGACAGGAGAGUCCCCAAAUGGGCCCAGGUCUCCCUCACCAGAGCUUGCAACUGACUCCUGGCUACUCAUUAUUUUCAGUAAAUGGCUACCCUUCUUGCUAGGAGAAGUGCUCGCUCCCUGUCUGAACAGAUAUGGUCUCUGAGCGGUUGGGGAUUUAGCUCAGUGGUAGAGCGCUUGCCUAGCAAACGCAA